ACAGGAAAGAACUUUUCUGCACCAACACUCAUCUGAGGACAAUCAAUCCACCAAAAUACUAUUUCAGAUCAAAGCCUGGUGGCCUGUAGACCCCUCUCAGAUGCGUGUCCUCCCAGGUUCACGGUGGUGUAGUGUUCAAUAGGUUCCCGGUGAGCCUACCAUAAUCAUAUCUGAAGCCUAACAGCAUAUUUACAUCUCUCGACUCGGACUGCACAUAAAACGGAGCCUCAUGCGAGAUAUUGCGGACCUUACCACAACUGAGUGUCUGCCGCGGGAUGAACAUGCUGAAGCCCAGGCGUUGGUUUUUAGUUGUUCCUACCAGGUCACUAUAAUAUUCAGAGAAACAGAAAGCAAAAAAUGGACAAGCACACCCAGAAUCUAAUCACAUGGUAAGUAUUACGCAAAAGUUGAUUCAAUAUUCAUGUACUGACAUAAAUAAGAUAUUAUGUCUAGCUCUUCCUAAGAAUGAAACAUACUUAUUUAUGCACGGGUAUUAAAAUAAUUUCACAGUUUCUUUCACAUCAUCCUUGGUGACUCAUAUACAAGUAAAAGAUAAUAUAUCCAGAAACAGA